GCGCCGCUAGCUCAACUGGCAGAGCAGCGGACUCUUAAUCCGCGGGUUCGGGGUUCGAGUCCCUGGCGGCGCACCU
rnacentral:tRNA from 2 species